rnacentral:rRNA from 1 species
AAUGAACGCUGGCGGCAGGCCUAACACAUGCAAGUCGAACGGAUCCUUCGGGGUUAGUGGCGGACGGGUGAGUAACGCGUGGGAACAUACCCUUUGGUACGGAAUAGCCUCGGGAAACUGGGAGUAAUACCGUAUGUGGUCGAGAGACGAAAGAUUUAUCGCCACAGGAUUGGCCCGCGUUGGAUGAGGUAGUUGGUGGGGUAAUGGCCGACCAAGCCGACGAUCCAUAGCUGGUUUGAGAGGAUGAUCAGCCACACUUGGACUGAGACACGGCCCAGACUCCUACGGGAGGCAGCGCUGGGGAAUCUUCGACAAUGGGGGAAACCCUGAUCUAGCCAUGCCGCGUGAUCGAUGAAGGCCUUAGGGUUGUAAAGAUCUUUCAGGUGGGAAGAUAAUGACUGUACCACCAGAAGAAGCCCCGGCUAACUCCGUGCCAGCAGCCGCCGCAG